ACAAUCAGGUUGUAGGUGCAGUACGGUAAAGCUGCUACAGCAACAUUUUGACAGAUCGUUUGGCCAAUCAGCAUUCAGCAUCAUCACCGCCGGCUCGCACCAGCACAACACAAAAAUAUAAAUAAAAUCAGUAAAACUGAAAACGGGUGAUAUCGAGCAUAUUAUUGCGACUGUUCUACUUGUUCAGUGAAAUAAAAACGCGGCGGAUGUAUCAUUCUGUCGCUGGAGGCCACCACCAAGGAAAAGCCUGAAAAUUUCGCAGGAGGAAAUCAGAUUGAUGAAUAAAGUAUUUACCUUCUGGAGCUCAAACUCAACGAAUGAGAGGAGAAAAAUACGGUCACACAGGAGCUCAAAAAAGUGCUGCAAAAAUUGCCCGAGGAACGGUUUAACAUCCAAUCGCGUAGUGGCCAUGAGGAAGUUUCCCGAAAAAACAAAAAAUAUUCAGCCCCAAGAGACUGACCUCAGAGCCGUGGAAGAUGGUUUAACAAUCACCUGUAACGUGCGACAUGCGGACAAGAGAACGGGCUCUAAUCAGACCGACGGCACAAUCGCAGAUUUCAAGGAAAAAAAUCACGCUACUGGGAUAUCGGAUUGGAUAUCCCGUUAGAUAAAAAGGACGCCAAUCCCUGCUCGAUGACUAUCUGUUGUGGGCUGUGGCGGUUCAAGAGCAGCCCCCUUCCGGUUCCGAAUAAUAGCUGCGGAAGUUACAGUGCCUUCGUAGAGACCAAAAACCAUCAGUCGGACCCGAGCUACAGAUUUCACGAAAUGGGAUUCUUCGAUGCAGGAUCGAUUUCGGUUGAUAGACAACUGCUGCUAUAUUACAUCAGACUAUAGUUCGAACGCUAGCAGAGACAAAAAAUGAUUUUUGUUACACUUUUACUUUAGCGGUUUAUGAAAAUAGUCAAUAAAAUUAUUUUACGAUUCAAACAAUGUACCGAUUAAUCUAAAUGCAUAUCUAUACGUCAUUGCUCCACUUUUCGAUGAACCUACCAUUUCUGCACUUCGUUCAUUAGAUGGCGAUCAGAAUACCCCUUUUUAAGACGGAUAAAAAUGGACAACGUGUCUACGAAGUCUUCCAUGGAAA